rnacentral:rRNA from 1 species
UACCCGCAGCACAAGUGGUGGUCAUUAUUAUUGGGCCUAAAGCGUCCGUAGCUGGCUUGUUAGAUGCCUGGGUAAAUCGAUGCGCUCAACGCAUCGAAUUCCGGGUAGACCGGCAAGCUUGGGACCGGGAGAGGCAUGGGCUACUCGCGGGGUAGGGGUAAAAUCCUGUAAUCCUGCGGGGAGGACCAGUGGCGAAGGCGCCAUGCUAGAACGGCUCUGACAGUGAGGGACGAAG